CACAUGUGCAGCCCAGUCUGAUCAGAUCCAGACAGUGGCAGCAGGACUGGGACAGCAGAUUCAGUGUCUUGGGAGCAUCUGAGACAGAUGAGUGCAGAUAAAGAGAGAGUCAGUGAAUACAGAUCAGCUCAAUGAUCCGAACAGAUCACAGUUUCAGAUUUAAAGCUAAAUCCAAGCGCUGCUGAGGGACCAGGGUGACACCAGAGCUCCCGCUAGCCGCAGUUAUUUGCAAACAGAUGUGCAUCCCUGGACCAAGAGGUUUUGAUCAAUCAGGCCUUAACAAGUCAAGUUGACUACAUGCGAAUGUAACACUUUGCAUGUGAAUGGGAGAGGCCAUGCAAGGCCUGGGUUUGAUUAGGGGUGAGCUGAUAAAUGGCAGAUUGAAUCGGCCCCCUGUGAGCAGGCUGCAGCUUAUUGGGCCCAGUGCUUUAAAUCCACACUGAUAUCAACUCUUUGCUCCCUAUUCUUCAGCCUCGCUGAUGAAUAGAUCUAUUAUUCAGUGGAUUCUGUCUAUCAUUCUUCUUCAUUUCAUGUAUUGGAGUGGCAGCAGCUUAAAUGAGGUCUCCACAGCUUCCUUUCCUCCCUUUUUCCUCUUUUUCUUUUUUACUUUUCAGUUCUGAUCCUCUUUCCCUAACUCAUCUUAGUCUUUAUUCCCAUCUGUCUGUCCCUUUGUGGCCAAAUUGUUGAUUUUCUGCCUUUCCCUGUACUUAAGGUUUCAUUGUAUGUGACUGGUUUCAUGGUAAACAGUAAAAUACAUGGCUUUAGCUUCCCUGGCAUUGUUCUUUAAGCCAAAUACACUAGCAUUCUAAAGUCUGAGUUGAUUUUCUGGCAAAGUACUGUAUCCUCAGUCAGGACAAGCUUUCCAUGUACAAAAGAGCUUUUGAGGCCGCUGAUAGUGAUGGAGAUGGUUAUCUGAGCUGUCUCCAAGUGCUGCUGGCACUGAAAGAGAUCAUUCCUCCAGAACUUCUGACUGAAGAAGAGGAAAUAUAUGUGUACAGGAUUCUGGAGCUGGUUGAUUUCAGAGUGACAAAAGGCCUUACGGAUCUGCGCCUGUUUGCUGUAGUGGCCAGUUUGGCCCAGAAAAUAGCCACACUCGAUGAUUUCAUGCGCUCCCUCAUCAGCGAGAUGGAUUUCAAAUCUCUGGAGAUGAAGCUUUAUAAAGCCAAGCAGUUGUUCUUGUUCUUGCUGGAGGCCCAAACAGGGGGCGCUCUGGUGCCAGAGGGUUGCAUUGGGGCAGAGCAACUCCUAGUGGAGCUCAAGGCAGGGGGCAUCAGGCCUGAGCAUGAGGCAUCGGUGAGGCGGGAGCUUCGCAGUUUGCGCUCCCUUGAUCUUCUCGACUUCCUCGCUCAUCUGCCUCUCUUCAUCCUCAUUCAUAACUCAGUUAUCGCAAACCCCUUCGAUGACACCAGCAACCUGUGAUGGUAUCAACAACAACUGUUUGCACCAAUGGUUAGGCCAUAUUAACAUCAAAAUGAAUACAUAUAUUAGAUACAUAUGUAUGAAAAAAACUUUGGGGCAUGAGGGAUUUUUCAUGUUUUUGAAAGAAGCUAUUUUGCUUGCCAAGGCUGCAUUUAUAUGAUCAAAAAUACAUUUACAAAAAAAAAAAUAAUAAUAAUAAGUGUCUUCUAUUUUAAUAUAUUUUAAAAAGUAUUUUUUUCUGUGAUGCAAAGUAGAAUUUUCAGCAUCUAUUAGUCCAGUCUUCAGUGUCACAUGAUCCUUCUACAUUUCAUUUUAUACAUUAUAUUAUAUUAUAUUAUAUUAUAUUAUAUUAUAU
rnacentral:lncRNA from 1 species